AAAAUCUUUCUAGAGGACUUUCAUCCCUUCCCAACAGCCUGCAAUGUGGACUUCUGUCCCCUCAGUAACAAACCGUACAUGUCCUUCCUGAACUGAGAACGAACCUGCAGCAUCCAGAGCAGCUCUAAGAAGCAGGAGAAGACAAAAAAGGCAUGCAGCUCCCUGCUGCUCUCAGGAAAGGGGAGAGAAGCGCAGCUGCCUCCGUUCAAGGCUGGGUGAGAGUGAUGAGUCAAAUGACUGUCAUCAUUUGGAUUCUGACAUUUCUUCCUCUACAGAGAAAACGAAAGAGUCUGCUAUUGAAUAGAGAUGAUAGGCAAAAGUGGAGUAAAGAAUAAAGGAAGAAUAAACAUUUUUAAAAUCAGUCUCCAAAGAGUUUUCCUUCUGGCAGGGAGAUGGGUACACAAAGAAUAUUUACCUGGUUGGAAUGUC
rnacentral:lncRNA from 1 species